rnacentral:rRNA from 1 species
CUGCUGCCUUCCGUAGGAGUUUGGACCGUGUCUCAGUUCCAGUGUGGGGGACCUUCCUCUCAGAACCCCUACGCAUCGUCGCCACGGUGGGCCGUUACCCCGCCGUCUAGCUAAUGCGCCGCAUGCCCAUCCUCUUCCGAUGAAUCUUUCCUCGAUCUCGGAUGCCCGAAACCGAUAUACGCGGGAUUAGCCUCCCUUUCGGAAGGUUGUCCCCCUGAAGAGGGCAGGUUGCAUACGUGUUACUCACCCGUGCGCCGGUCGCCGGA